rnacentral:tRNA from 1 species
GGGGAUGUGGCUUAGCAGUUGAGCACUUGCCUAGCAUGCAUGAAGCCUAGGUUCAAUGCCCAGCACCACCA